AAGGAUCAUUAGCGAACUCGACGGCCGGGGGUGGGUUGUGCUGGCGCCUUGCGGCGCACGUGCACGCCCGCCCUCGACGUCCGCUUUCCACACACGCACCUGUGCACCUUUUUGCUUGCCGGGACACGGGGGGGCCGACGCGCCCCCGGGCCCCCGGCGGCCGAACAACACACCAGCCAUUGUCUUGUCGGAUGUGAAUCGCGGAAAGCGAAAACAAAAAUAAUACAACUUUUAACAACGGAUCUCUUGGUUCUC
rnacentral:misc_RNA from 1 species